ACUUAAAUUGAAGAGUUUGAUCAUGGCUCAGAUUGAACGCUGGCGGCAGGCCUAACACAUGCAAGUCGAGCGGUAGCACAGAGAGCUUGCUCUCGGGUGACGAGCGGCGGACGGGUGAGUAAUGUCUGGGAAACUGCCUGAUGGAGGGGGAUAACUACUGGAAACGGUAGCUAAUACCGCAUAAUGUCGCAAGACCAAAGUGGGGGACCUUCGGGCCUCAUGCCAUCAGAUGUGCCCAGAUGGGAUUAGCUAGUAGGUGGGGUAACGGCUCACCUAGGCGACGAUCCCUAGCUGGUCUGAGAGGAUGACCAGCCACACUGGAACUGAGACACGGUCCAGACUCCUACGGGAGGCAGCAGUGGGGAAUAUUGCACAAUGGGCGCAAGCCUGAUGCAGCCAUGCCGCGUGUGUGAAGAAGGCCUUCGGGUUGUAAAGCACUUUCAGCGGGGAGGAAGGCGGUGAGGUUAAUAACCUCACCGAUUGACGUUACCCGCAGAAGAAGCACCGGCUAACUCCGUGCCAGCAGCCGCGGUAAUACGGAGGGUGCAAGCGUUAAUCGGAAUUACUGGGCGUAAAGCGCACGCAGGCGGUCCGUCAAGUCGGAUGUGAAAUCCCCGGGCUCAACCUGGGAACUGCAUUCGAAACUGGCAGGCUAGAGUCUUGUAGAGGGGGGUAGAAUUC
rnacentral:rRNA from 1 species